rnacentral:snRNA from 1 species
AAACCUUCUCGGCCUUUUGGCUAAGAUCAAGUGUAGUAUCUGUUCUAAUCAGUGUGAAAACUGGGUUUCCUCAGUUUUGAGGAUCUUUUUCACAUUCCUUUUUGGACAUUCUUUGUUUUUCUAGCUUGCUAGGAAUUCAGAGAACGGUCUCCGGGGGAUUUCACCGCUACCCCCGCGAGACCAACUACCU